rnacentral:rRNA from 1 species
UUUGGAAGAAAUUGAUCCUGGCUCAGGACGAACGCUGGCGGCGUGCCUAAUACAUGCAAGUCGAGCGGACAGAUGGGAGCUUGCUCCCUGAUGUUAGCGGCGGACGGGUGAGUAACACGUGGGUAACCUGCCUGUAAGACUGGGAUAACUCCGGGAAACCGGGGCUAAUACCGGAUGGUUGUUUGAACCGCAUGGUUCAAACAUAAAAGGUGGCUUCGGCUACCACUUACAGAUGGACCCGCGGCGCAUUAGCUAGUUGGUGAGGUAACGGCUCACCAAGGCAACGAUGCGUAGCCGACCUGAGAGGGUGAUCGGCCACACUGGGACUGAGACACGGCCCAGACUCCUACGGGAGGCAGCAGUAGGGAAUCUUCCGCAAUGGACGAAAGUCUGACGGAGCAACGCCGCGUGAGUGAUGAAGGUUUUCGGAUCGUAAAGCUCUGUUGUUAGGGAAGAACAAGUACCGUUCGAAUAGGGCGGUACCUUGACG